GAAUAAGAAACACUCACCGAAGGUAGUACUGCUUCAAAACAAAAGCAGCAUUCGAGCAACAUCUGGGAAAAUUGAAAUCCUCGCUCAGUUCGGCCCAAUGGUUCUUGUCGGACACCUGUAGGGUGAUGAGACAGGUCUGGGGGGAAAAGAUCAAACUAUGAUGUCUGCAUUUAAAGGAGUACAAUCUUCGCUUUGUCGCAGCAGAUGAACAGUAAUUUACUCCCGGUCCCUUGCAACACCCGCCGGGCGGAUAUAAACGACACGGGGUGACUACAUUCAACCAUUACACGCACCCCUCUCACAAGUUAUUCUGACACAAAAUGGCGGAGACGACGCGAAAGACCCCAUUUUGUCAAGCAGACGAUAAUAACAGUUCGAGGAAACUGAAUUUUCUGUCGUUUUUAGCGCUAUUUCGAGCGAGUUUGGGAUGCGUUUUGCUGCGGUGCGCUGCUAUGUUGAGCCGUCGUCCGCGCGCACCAGGUUUGACGCAGCUCGAGCGCUGCGCGAGUGAACGCGCACGAAUAAAUAUAUUUUUAUCAAGCUAGAUUAGAUUUAUAUCAUAGAUUUCAAAUAACUUGAGGAGGAAUCAUUUUAUCUUCAAAGUCUGGAAGAUAUCUGACUGUUUCUGCUUCUUUAGAUUUGUAAACCCAGUUCGCGGUGUAUUAAUAAUCCGCUUCCGUGUUUUAAUAUCUAAAAUCGUGUACUGUAAAGUUGUGUAAAUGUAUAUUUUCUAAGAAUUGCAGAUGGUAUAGCUGUACAAACCAUGCAUUAUUAUUACUGGAAACAUCAAGAGGAUUUUAAAAUGUCAAGGCCCAGAAAUGUGUUUGAAAUUGUCAAAUAUGAUCAUCUUGUGAUCAGUAUGCUUUUUUUUUUGUAAAUGCAAUCUCUUUAAAAUUAUAUCAUAAAUAUAUCAAUCAGGAAGGAAACAGAAAUGCACAGACAUAAAGACUGAGGAAAAGUUUAGUUUGCAUCAUCAGAGAAGUUAUUAGACGUAAAAUAGAUUGUCCACUUAAUCUGUUUAGCAUUAGUCUAUCAUCUGAUGGAUACACGAGCAAACCAGAAUGAUAUAUCCAGUCUGUGCUUAAACUCAGAGACAAACCUAGAUAUUAAGUAGCAAAUUAAGGUUUAGGAGGGGAAAAGACAAGCUGUAAGUAGCCAGAUUAUGUUCCAUAAAAGUGGGUAGAGUUCGCCAUCAUGUGGUUAAACAUCGAAAAUGUUGUGUUUUACAUUUCCACGGUUAAACCAAGAACAUAUGCAAAUGCUAGAAUUUGCCUAAGAAACACAUUGAUAGAUUCUGAAAUGCAUCUGCAUGCUAAUUGAAAAUAAACAUUAAUUCUUCACAUCAAAAUGCACGUAUGCAUAAACCAUUGUUAUUUUAGCUUCACUGAGAUAAUAUAUUUAAUAGUCAUAUUUGUAAUGUUUUUUCAGUAAUUUUGUUGUCUUAAUAAUUAUGCUUCUGUUUUAAAAUGUCUAGAACAUGUUUAUUUUUAUUUCAGUUUUAGGUAUUUGAAGAGUUGAAGAGAAUGGGAAUGUUGACACCUGACUGAAAAACUUUCCACACAUUUACAUUACAAAUAAAAAGUUUUCUUUAUAUUUUCAGGUUAGCGUUUUUUAUUUCAAAUAUUAUU